GUUUGUCCUUUGAAAAUGCAGGAUGAGAAAGUUGGAUACUUGAGUGUUAACCAAAAGGGUAUUUCAAGUUGUCCACAGUUCAAGUGUUCAGCUAAUUCACAUAGGUUCAAUAAUUAUCAAAGUAAGGACUCGUUUCUAAAUCUGCAUCCUGAAAUUUCGAUGCUUCAAGGUGAAGGAAACCAUACUUUCACUACCUCUAGACAGGAAAGCUCGAGUGGAGGUGUUGCCGAGAGCUUAAUGGACUCAUCUAGUUUGAAGAAUUUCAAUGAGGCUAAGAUUAAGGUGGUUGGUGUAGGAGGUGGU
rnacentral:misc_RNA from 1 species